rnacentral:rRNA from 1 species
GAGUUUGAUCCUGGCUCAGGAUGAACGCUAGCUUUAGGCUUAACACAUGCAAGUCGAGGGGCAGCGGUAUCGAAAGCUUGCUUUCGGUAGCCGGCGACCGGCGCACGGGUGAGUAACGCGUAUCGAACCUGCCUCAUACUCGGGAAUAGCCUUGCGAAAGUAAGAUUAAUGCCCGGUGUUUUCAGAGUCCCGCAUGAGGCUUUGAACAAAGAUUUAUCGGUAUGAGAUGGCGAUGCGUCCCAUUAGCUUGUUGGCGGGGUAACGGCCCACCAAGGCAUCGAUGGGUAGGGGUUCUGAGAGGAAGGUCCCCCACAUUGGAACUGAGACACGGUCCAAACUCCUACGGGAGGCAGCAGUGAGGAAUAUUGGUCAAUGGGCGGAAGCCUGAACCAGCCAAGUAGCGUGCAGGAAGACGGCCCUCCGGGUUGUAAACUGCUUUUAGUUGGGAAUAAAACGGGGCUCGUGAGCCCCCUUGCAUGUACCAUCAGAAAAAGGACCGGCUAAUUCCGUGCCAGCAGCCGCGGUAAUACGGAAGGUCCGGGCGUUAUCCGGAUUUAUUGGGUUUAAAGGGAGCGCAGGCGGACCUUUAAGUCAGCUGUGAAAUACGGCGGCUCAACCGUCGAACUGCAGUUGAUACUGGAGGUCUUGAGUGCACACAGGGAUGCUGGAAUUCAUGGUGUAGCGGUGAAAUGCUCAGAUAUCAUGAAGAACUCCGAUCGCGAAGGCAGGCAUCCGGGGUGCAACUGACGCUGAGGCUCGAAAGUGCGGGUAUCAAACAGGAUUAGAUACCCUGGUAGUCCGCACAGUAAACGAUGAAUACUCGCGGUUUGCGAUACAAUGUAAGCCGCCAAGCGAAAGCGU